GAUGAACGCUAGCGGCAGGCUUAAUACAUGCAAGUCGAGGGGCAGCAGGACUGUAGCAAUACAGUUGCUGGCGACCGGCAAACGGGUGCGGAACACGUACGCAACCUACCCAAAACUGGGGGAUAGCCCGGGGAAACCCGGAUUAAUACCUCGUAACCUUUUUAAGUGGCAUCACUUGAUAAGUAUAGCUCCGGCGGUUUUGGAUGGGCGUGCGCCUGAUUAGGUAGUUGGUGCGGGUAACGGCCCACCAAGCCUGCGAUCAGUAACUGGUGUGAGAGCACGACCAGUCACACGGGCACUGAGACACGGGCCCGACUCCUACGGGAGGCAGCAGUAAGGAAUAUUGGUCAAUGGACGAAAGUCUGAACCAGCCAUGCCGCGUGAAGGAUGAAGGUCCUCUGGAUUGUAAACUUCUUUUAUGGGGGACGAAACCCGGAUAUUCUUAUCCGAUUGACGGUACCUCAGGAAUAAGCACCGGCUAACUCCGUG
rnacentral:rRNA from 1 species